UUGGCCCUGGCAAGUAUGGCUAUGGGA
rnacentral:piRNA from 1 species